rnacentral:rRNA from 1 species
UACGUAGGGGGCUAGCGUUGUCCGGAAUCAUUGGGCGUAAAGAGCGUGUAGGCGGCCCGGUAAGUCCGCUGUGAAAGUCGGGGGCUCAACCCUCGAAUGCCGGUGGAUACUGUCGGGCUAGAGUGCGGAAGAGGCGAGUGGAAUUCCUGGUGUAGCGGUGAAAUGACGCAGAUAUCAGGAGGAACACCAAUUGCGAAGGCAGCUCGCUGGGACGUUACUGACGCUGAGACGCGAAAGCGUGGGGAGCAAACAGG